CGACUAAGCGUACACGGUGGAUGCCCUGGCAGUCAGAGGCGAUGAAGGACGUGCUAAUCUGCGAAAAGCGUCGGUAAGGUGAUAUGAACCGUUAUAACCGGCGAUGUCCGAAUGGGGAAACCCAGUGUGAUUCGUCACACUAUCGUUAACUGAAUCCAUAGGUUAACGAGGCGAACCGGGGGAACUGAAACAUCUAAGUACCCCGAGGAAAAGAAAUCAACCGAGAUUCCCCCAGUAGCGGCGAGCGAACGGGGAGCAGCCCAG
rnacentral:rRNA from 1 species